rnacentral:tRNA from 1 species
UGGUGCGCUCGUCCGUGCCGGUCCGGGAGGCGCCGCUGAUGGCGGCGGCGGUCGCGGUGUUCGGCGCGUUCGCACUGG